rnacentral:rRNA from 1 species
UACGGGGGGGCAAGCGUUGUUCGGAAUUACUGGCGUAAAGGGCUCGUAGGCGGCCAACUAAGUCGGAUGUGAAAUCCCCAGGCUUAACCUGGGAACUGCAUCCGAUACUGGAUGGCUUGAAUUCGGGAGAGGGAUGCAGAAUUCCAGGUGUAGCGGUGAAAUGCGUAGAUAUCUGGAGGAAUACCGGUGGCGAAGGCGGCAGUCCUGGACCGAGAUUGACGCUGAUGAGCGAAAGCUAGGGAGCAACGGG